GUCUUAGAUUUGUCUAGAUACGGAUGUAUCAAGUCACAUUUUAGUAUUAGAUACAUCCGUAUCUAGACAACUCGAAGACAAGAAAUUUCGGAUAGAGGGAGUAGGUG
rnacentral:pre_miRNA from 1 species